GACGAACCGAGCGAACGUUGUUCGGAAUCACUGGGCUUAAAGGGCGCGUAGGCGGGUGCUCAAGUCUGUGGUGAAAUCCUCCGGCUCAACCGGAGAACUGCCAUGGAUACUGGGUGCCUCGAGGGUGAUAGGGGGUAUGCGGAACUAUCGGUGGAGCGGUGAAAUGCGUUGAUAUCGAUAGGAACUCCGGUGGCGAAGGCGGCAUACUGGGAUCACUUCGUGACGCUGGAGGCGCGAAGCCAGGGGAGCGAACGGG
rnacentral:rRNA from 1 species